GCCUCACCUGCAAAAGGACUGUGGUUCAAAUCCCGGUGCCACGCCAUUUUCCACUGGAUAAAAAAAAAUCCACAUGUUGAUACAGCUGUAUAAACAGGCCUGGUGGCCUGACCCUGGUGAUCAGAACCGGUAAUGCACCCCCUCACCAGAGCAGGAUUGGCCACCUUGGUGCAGUACUUGGCCACCACCUUCUAUAUGAAUAGAACAAUCAAACCCCAGCCCUCAGUCCCCAGCAGCUACAAAGCAACUGACCAUUGCGGCGGUCAGACCUGUGACGCAGCAGAGGGUGCUAAGAACCUCUGGAUCCAGACAGGCCGCCAUUGGAAUCUGAACCUGGCAAUGUUUAACGCUAGAACGUUUUCUAGUGAGGAGAGUCUAACUGUGCUAUUAGAGGAAUUAGUGGGCAUUAAAUGGGAUAUAAUAGAGCUCAGUGAGGUUGGGAGGACAGAUGAAGCAUAUACAGUGCUAAAAAGCGUGCACAUCCUGUGCCACCAGGGCUUAGCGGAGAGACGAGAACUAGGAGUCGGAUUCCUGUUUAAUAAGGAUAUAGUAACUGGUAACAUACAGGAAUUGUAUAGCAUUAAAGAGAGGGUGGCAGGUCUUGUUGUGAAACUUAAUAAGAGGUACAAAUUGAAGGUCGUACAGGUCUACGCCCCUACAUCUAGUCAUGAUAACCAGGAAGUCGAAAGCUUCUAUGAAGAUGUGGAAUUGGUGAUAGGUAAAGUCAAAACAAAAUACACUAUACUGAUGGACGACUUCAAUGCCAGGGUAGGCAAGAAGCAGGUUGGAGAAAAGUCAGUGUGGGGAAUAUGGCAAAGGUUCUAGCAAUAGUAGGGGAGAGUUAUUAGUAGAGUUUGCAGAACGGAAUAAUUUGCGGACAAUGAAUACCUUCUUCCGCAAGCGGGAUAACCGAAAGUGGACAUGGAGGAGCCCUAAUGGCGAGACUAGACAUGGAAUAGACCUCAUACCUUGUGCUAACCCUGGCAUCAUACAAGAUGUGUACGUGCUCGGCAAGGUGCGCUGCAGUGGCCAUAGGAUGGCAAGAUCUCGAAUUAGCCUAGACUUGAGGAGGGAAUAGAAAAAACUGGUACAUUAGAAGCCAAUCAAUGAGUUAGCAGUAAGAGGGAAAAUAGAGGAAUUUCGGAUCAAGCUACAGAAGAGGUAUGCGGCUUUAACUCGGGAAGAGAACCUUAGUGUUGAAGCACUGAACGAAAAUCUCAUGGGCAUUAUUAAGGAGUGUGCAAUAGAAGUUAGUUGUAACUUCGUUAGACAGGAUACCAGUAAGCUAUCGCAGGAGACAAAAGAUCUAAUUUUAAUACCAACCCUUAUACAUAGCUUUCAUUGAUUACAAGAAAGUGUUUGAUUCAGUCAAAACCUUAGCAGUCAUGCAGGCAUUAUGGAAUUGAGGUAUAGACGAGCCAUGUGUACAAAUACUGAAAGAUAUCUACAGCGGCUCUACAGCCACCGUAGUCCUUCAUAAAGAAAGCAACAAAAUCCCAAUAAAGAAGGGCGUCAGGUAGGAAGAUACAAACUCCACAAUGCUAUUCACAGCAUGUUUACAGGAGGUAUUCAGAGACCUGGAUUGGGAAGCAUUGGGGAUAAGAGUUAAUGGAGAAUACCUUAGUAACUUGCGAUUCGCUGAUGAUAUUGCCUAGCUUAGUAACUCAGGGGACCAAUUGCAAUGCAUGCUCACUGACCCGGAGAGGCAAAGCAUAAUUGUAGAUCUGAAAAUGAAUCUGCAGAAAACUAAAGUAAUUUUUAACAGUCUCAGAAGAGAACAGCAGUUUACGAUAGGUAGCGAGGCACUGGAGUGGUAAGGGAAUACAUCUACUCAGGGCAGGCAGUGACCGCGGAUCCAGAUCAUGAGACCGAAAUGAUCAGAAGAAUAAGAAUGGGCUGGGGUGCGUUUGGCAGACAUUCUCAGAUCAUAAACACCAGGUUGCCAUUAUCCCUCAAGAGAAAAGUGUAUAACUGGUGUGUCUUUCCAGUACUCACAUACGGGGCAGAAACCUGGAGGCUUACAAAAAGGGUUCUACUUAAACUGAGGACGACACAUCGAGCUAUGGAAAGAAGAAUGAUGGGUGUAACGUUAAGGGGAUAAGAUGAGAGCAGAUUGGGUGAGGGAACAAAUGCGAGUUAAUGAUAUCUUACUUGAAAUCCAGAAAAAUGGCCAUGGGCAGGGCAUGUAAUGAGGAGGGAAGAUAACCGAUGGUCCUUAAGGGUUAUGGACUGGAUUCCAAGAGAGGGGAAGUGUAGUAGGGGGCAGCAGAAAGUUAGGUGGGUGGAUGAGAUUAAGAAGUUUGCAGGGACAGCAUGGCCACAAUUGGCGCAUGACCGGGGUAGUUGCUGUUUAUUCAAGCAUUUUGCAAAUGCGGCUCACUUUUAAGCACCCCUUCUUAUGUUUAAAAAAAAAACAGAAAUGAACAUCCAGUAUUCUUUUUUAACUUUCACUAAGCUUAUCAUAUGGCUCAGUGUAAACAUACAGGUUAACAUACAGUAUUUACAGGUGAGGUUACAGAAAGCAGUAAUAAUUGACAGUAAACACUGCUUGGAUGGUGAAAAACAUGGGAGUCAGGUCAUCUUAUUUUUGACAACGUUUUUUGGCAUAGGAGGCUAAGCAAAUGGUGAUGUAGCAACACUGUAAAGACUGAAUAAAAUGGAUGUGGAAUGCCUUGAUGACUUCUCUUUGUUUUUGAUUUUGCCUUCGAAAGGAAUUUAUUCUGUUCCAGAUAAGGGAGGCAGCUUUUGCCUCUGCAACAGAACAUCGGUGGAUGUUGUGUGAAGCACUUCUUCCAUGCUUUUUCACUACCUGAUCAAGCCAAUGUCGUCUUCUCCACAAUCCACUGCGGAUGCCAAAUCUCUCUGGGGAAUGUGCCAUUUCGAGUUGUGAAGGAAACAGUCAGUCUGCAAGUUCGGAAUGGAAUACUACGAGAAGACUCAGGGAGAAAAAGACCAUGAUUUAAGCACCACUGACCACUGACUGGCCGAAGGAGGUGUACGAGAAAAAGUGAAUGAACCUCCAAGGCGCAAAAAAGAGGGUUCAUUAGACUUUUCCCCUUUCUGUGGAACGGCUAUGUAGUACGCACCCUACUAACGACUGAUGCACCAUACAUCAGGUCGCAUGUUUUGGUUACAUGAUGGGCAAAAACUAGACAGCUCAACAUUGACUGUUUCGAGUUCCACGAUACUAAAGUACAUGUUGAGACUAAUUGAAAAAUACUAGCUGAUAAAUGCUAAGUUUAGACGAUUGCCUAUUUUCUUGUGCAUUCCUGUUCCUUAUGCAACCCCUUUUGAUAUCCCCAUUCCCAUAGGGUGCCAUUGAAAAAUGUUUUAUGUCUGGAUAAUUAAACAGCUUCCUCAAGUCACUAGUAUCAGUAUGUAUACCUAAAACAUUUCGCUGAAAGGGUAGUUCUCAUAAUUGCCCUCGAAAAUGGCCACUUUGCCCAGCCUCCAAUACCAGUCACCACUGUUGAAGUACUCUUGGCGAAAUUGCUGUGUAGGUAACCAUACUUCACAUUUUCAAAAUAAACUCUUGGUGCACAUUA